UGGGGAAUAUUGCACAAUGGGCGAAAGCCUGAUGCAGCAACGCCGCGUGAGUGAUGAAGGCCUUCGGGUUGUAAAGCUCUGUCUUUUGGGACGAUAAUGACGGUACCAAAGGAGGAAGCCACGGCUAACUACGUGCCAGCAGCCGCGGUAAUACGUAGGUGGCAAGCGUUGUCCGGAUUUACUGGGCGUAAAGGAUGCGUAGGCGGAUUUUUAAGUGAGAUGUGAAAUACCCGGGCUUAACUUGGGUGCUGCAUUUCAAACUGGGAAUCUAGAGUGCGGGAGAGGAGAAUGGAAUUCCUAGUGUAGCGGUGAAAUGCGUAGAGAUUAGGAAGAACACCAGUGGCGAAGGCGAUUCUCUGGACCGUAACUGACGCUGAGGCAUGAAAGCGUGGGUAGCAAACAGGAUUAGAUACCCUGGUAGUCCACGCCGUAAACGAUGAGUACUAGGUGUAGGAGGUAUCGACCCCUUCUGUGCCGCAGUUAACACAAUCAAGUACUCCGCCUGGGAAGUACGAUCGCAAGAUUAAAA
rnacentral:rRNA from 1 species